GUUCAGAUAUUAACGUUAAAGGUUUGUGUGUUUCUUGAUGUCGCCGACGGUUUCUGGUUUCUAUGCAACGGGGGACGCCUGAAGGACCACUGACGUCAUGGCUCCAAGGUGUCCUUAACAGGUGCCUGUCAAGAAUUGUUAAAAACAGAGAUCAUAGGUAACAUUAUUCAGCCGCAUCUAAAAUGAGGGGUGAGAUGAAUUCCGAGUGACGCAGUCCAAAGGAGAAGCUUGGAGCUUUGGCUCUUGUGAAGGUCACCUAGGAAGAGGAAAAAUGAUAGUGUGCACCAGGACCUGGUUUCUUUGUGGUUUCACCGGGUGGGAAGUUGCGUCCUGUCAUGCUAAACCGGGGAGCUUUUUGCCUAUAAAGACAAGGGUCCACAACUCUGUAGGCAGAAGGGCCAGGAGUCUGGAGGGUAAAUAAAAGUAUUGAAAACAGGUCUUCAUCGAAGCUUCCAGUUUUGCUGCGGCCACAGAAUGAGUAGGAGCGAGCUGUAGAUGACACCACAGUGUUGUGCCCCAGCACUGGGGGCAGAGAGUAGGAGGCUGGACCUGCAGUAUGAGUGACAAGGGAGACAGAGAAUAAGCAGGAGCAGAGCGGAAGAUCGACUUUCCUGAAUGCUCUGGAGAGUAUUCGCCUGAAACACCAAAGAAAGUUACAUAAAAACACUGCUGACAGGUAAACUCAAAUGACAAUAGUGUGCAUCAUGACCGAAAGUGGCAUAUUGUCAGCCUUCAGUAAAUAGUCUGAGAUUUCA